rnacentral:misc_RNA from 1 species
GUAGAACAAGAAGAAACUAAAGGAUCAAGAGGAAUAAAUUCUUAAAAUUUUUAUUAAUUCCCAAUAAUAAUCAUAAUAAUAAGCUCCUCUAAUAAAAUAUCUACACAUACGGAAUGCUAAAUCAAAGUCAUUUAGGAACACCAAACAAAGUUAAACUAGGAAAAUAAUAAAAAUAAACCUAAUUGAAUUCCUAAAUAAUAAUAAGAAUAAUGAUAAUAACAACUUCCUAAUUUUAUAAUUAACAUAAAAUUCCACGUUGAAUCUUCUUCCAAUGCUGCAUCGUUCUCCUCUGAUUGGAGAAAAUUCGAUCUCAAGCCUUAUAAUGCGAAAGAAUUGAGAACUGAAUCAAGAGAACACAUAACUCUAUCUUCUUCAAUUGUACAAUGACCUUGAAAAAAAAAACUUCAUGCUUUCAAUUUCAUUUACAUCACUAGAAACAUCCAAACAUAAAAAAUAAAUCACAACUUCAAUCGAAAUACUCUUCAAUUUAGUAAAAAUAAGGAAAUCUGAAAAAUUAUCAAUCUCCAUUGUCAUUUCAUUUUCUUGAUUUUCCCCAAUUUCUUCAAUUUUCAUUGAAGUCUCAAUGGCUUGAUCUUUUUUGUUCUCUAGGAUAUAUUCCUCAAGCCGACCCCAAAUUUUUGGGAU